rnacentral:rRNA from 1 species
GACGAACGCUGGCGGCGUGCUUAACACAUGCAAGUCGAACGGAAAGGCCCUGCUUUUGUGGGGUGCUCGAGUGGCGAACGGGUGAGUAACACGUGAGUAACCUGCCCUUGACUUUGGGAUAACUUCAGGAAACUGGGGCUAAUAACGGAUAGGAGCUCCUGCUGCAUGGUGGGGGUUGGAAAGUUUCGGCGGUUGGGGAUGGACUCGCGGAUUAUCAGCUUGUUGGUGGGGUAGUGGCUUACCAAGGCUUUGACGGGUAGCCGGCCUGAGAGGGUGACCGGCCACAUUGGGACUGAGAUACGGCCCAGACUCCUACGGGAGGCAGCAGUGGGGAAUAUUGCACAAUGGGCGGAAGCCUGAUGCAGCAACGCCGCUUGCGGGAUGACGGCCUUCGGGUUGUAAACCGCUUUCGCCUGUGACGAAGCGUGAGUGACGGUAAUGGGUAAAGAAGCACCGGCUAACUACGUG